rnacentral:rRNA from 1 species
UACGAAGGGGGCUAGCGUUGUUCGGAAUCACUGGGCGUAAAGCGCACGUAGGCGGAUGUGCCAGUCAGGGGUGAAAUCCCGGAGCUCAACUCCGGAACUGCCUCUGAUACAGCACGUCUUGAGUUCGAGAGAGGUGGGUGGAAUUCCUAGUGUAGAGGUGAAAUUCGUAGAUAUUAGGAAGAACACCGGUGGCGAAGGCGGCCCACUAGCUCGAUACUGACGCUGAGGUGCGAAAGCGUGGGGAGCAAACAGG